UGCUGGCUGAAUAGCAACAUUUUGAAGCAGUCGCUUUGACCCAGAUGAUCACCUUUUGUCAUAUCUCAAAUAUCUGAAAAUGCAAAGGUGCUGUGUUACAAUGGAAAGUGAAAGACAAUUUCAUAAACAGACAUUCCUACUGAUACUAUUUUUUUUUCCUUUUUUAAAUGCACCGCCUUGACACUGUCUAAGGAAAAGUACAAAAAACACAAACCAUCCAAUGAACCCUGCCACGGUCUGACAGCAGCAGUAAUCCAGUCAACAGAAGUGCACAAGGCUCGUACAUACUGAGAUUGUAGAUCUUCACCCACAUCCACUUUGCCUGUGACAUGCACUGCUGGGGAGUACAGUGAUGAAUUGAUGAGGACACC